UACGUAGGGUGCAAGCGUUGUCCGGAAUUACUGGGCGUAAAGGGCGCGUAGGUGGCCUGUUAAGUCGAACGUGAAAUCCCCGGGCUCAACCCGGGAACUGCGUCCGAGACUGGCAGGCUCGAAUCCGGGAGAGGGAUGUGGAAUUCCAGGUGUAGCGGUGAAAUGCGUAGAUAUCUGGAGGAACACCGGUGGCGAAGGCGGCAUCCUGGACCGGUAUUGACGCUGAGGCGCGAAAGCCAGGGGAGCAAACGGG
rnacentral:rRNA from 1 species